rnacentral:lncRNA from 1 species
GUGGACUGGCGGGCUGCUGGGUCAUUGGUCUAGGCUGUCCACCCGGCCGGGGCCAUCUCGCUCCGGUCCCUCUUGCCGUCCUUCGUCCCAGCCCAGGGCCCGGUGGCGGGGCCCUGGCCGGUCCCAGGCCGUCGCCGGCCCCCUUCAUCCUCUGCGCGUUCGGCCUGCCGUUUUAGGGCGCUUGUCGCCAAGUUGUCCGCGGCCCGGCCCAACUCCGACGGACAGACGCGUCUCGUUUCCUGGCCGCCUCCUGCCGCCUGUCCAGCUCUCGCGGGAUGGCUUCCCUCCGACCGGCUCACUCAGUCCAGUCGGCAGAGUACCAAGGGACACCUGUGGUGGUGACCGGCUGGGUCGUGCCUUGGGCUCCUUGGGGACCCGUCGCAGCCCGGCCUGGGCAGGGCCGCCGGGACCUCGGGAACCCGCGUCGGUCUCAGAGAGGGAAGGGUCCGGGAGCUGGGAGGAUGCUGUCUUUCGCGGCGUGGGAGCUGGAAGACUGGUCCUAACUUUCGCCCUAUGAUUGAGGACAAAGUUGUGGGCCUGAGGUUAGGAGCACAAGUCCCUGCUUCCGAACCGUCUUGGAGGAGAGCAGAGGUGAUGCUCAUCACGGAAGUUUAGUCGACAGGGAGGAGGGACCCAGCCGCUUCAGGGAGUAGAUCAGAGUCUGCUGGUGGUGUCUCAACGCUGAUAGCCAAGCCCUGUGAUUGGGAAAUGUGUCCGUGGGCUAUGGGGGCUCGCUUUGCUCAUGAGCUUAGAUGUGAAAAUUGGUCAGGAUGAGUUUACAGCAUCACCUGGGGAGUCGUUUUUUGGAUCUGAAGAGUUGUGGCUUUUGUUUUGUUUUUGAGAUUAACUCAUUGUUGUACCUUUUUCUGUAAACCUAAGGCUGCAAAAGUACACUUACCCCCCCCCCCCCAAGUCUAUUAAGGUUACUAAUAAGUAACUUAAGCAGUACCAAGGAAGCUUCCCAGAGGUGCAAGAAGAUUUGAUUUUUAUUCGAUCCAUUUCAUGACAGAUAACGUUAGUUUUAAGAGUUACUGAUUCUCAGGUGGAAAAUUAAGAAGUGUUGAAGGAUUUGAAUUUUGGGGACCUUCCAAGCCAUCAUUUUCUUCUCCAGAAAGUAGGCACUUUAAGGGAGAAGGACAGCAGAGAUCCUUGCCAUAAAUGUGAGCAGUGUGAGCUAAGAGAGGUCACUGAGGGGGGACACCCCAAGUGUCUGGAGGGACCGCAGGGAGUGAAAUGUAUCUGAAAGUGUCCUGAAGAAUGAGUAACAUUCAGACUAGCAAGAUGGGGUGGGAAUUUUAGGGGUAGUGGGAAUGUGGGCGUGGGGCAACUAAAGGAGAAGAGGGCAGUAACUCCCGGGAGGUGGUUUUUGAAAAGUGAAAAAGUGCAGGGCAGAGCUGUGGUGGCUGAUAGGGGAAAAGAUGCAGGAGAUUCUUGGGGGGCUUUUAUCUGGUGAUGGCAGGACCAGGGAAGGGUUUUAAGGAGGGUUAUUUGCCUGGUUAAAAUGGAAUUUUAUAUAAGGCUUACACAUAGGCUGCUGUGUGUUGACUGAUGAGGGUUGUUCCCAGCAUAGUGCUUGAUUAUGUGCUAUUUGUAUUUUAAUCUUUUCUGCUCCUUAAAUGAAUUGAAUUCUCUUCUCAUUUAGUCAUUGUGGGAGAGUGUCUGACCCUGCUUACUUGUAAGCUUCUAUAAACAGGAAUUCUGCCUGUAUCUCUUUGCUUCUUAAUCCAAGUUGGGCUUUCAGAAGUGUUCCAUGAGGACUUGAGAAAUCAUUGAUUUCCUUUUCUUUCUUUUUUCUUUUUUUUCUUUUUGUCUUUUGUCAUUUUGUCUUUUGAGGGCCAAACCCAGGGCAUAUGGAGGUUCCCAGGCUAGAGGUACAAUUGGAGCUGUGGCUGCCAGCCUGCACCACAGCACCAGAUCCGAGCAGCAUCUGUGACCUACACCACAGCUCACAGCAACACCGGAGCCUUAACCCACUGAGCAAGGCCAGGGAUCGAACUCACAACCUCAUUGUUCCUAGUCGGAUUCAUUUCUGCUGCACCACGACGGGAACUCCUCUUUUUCUUUUUUUUCUCUCUCUCUCUCUUUUUUCCGUUUUUGAGCCGCUCUUGUGACACAAGGAAGUUCCCAGGCUAGGGGUUGAAUUGGAGCUAUAGCUGCUAAAGGACUAUGCCACAGCAUAGUAGGUCCUAAACCUACUCAGCGAGGCCAGGGAUCAGACCUGCAUCCUCAUGGAUGCCAGCUGGGGUGGUUACCACUGAGCCACAAUGGGAACUCCAAGGAAUCAUUGAUUUCUGAUUUUCAGUGGUUGGUUUUCAGAAAAAACAUUUUUGAUCAGUACUUAUUAUCUACAUAUAGAAGAACUAAGAUAUUGUUUCAUUUACUCUUGUCAGUGUUUGACUAGAGAAGUAGAAUUUUUGUGUUGACCACGUGAGUUUAAUUGUUGGCACAUGUGUUUCUAUUGGCUGCAAAGUAAACAUCUCUAGCAGGUUGACCCAUCCCUAAAAUGUAGGUGAUACCUGUGUAGCAUAACAUACCUGUCUGCUCUGUGACUCAGAAUGGAAAUGCUAUUAAGUGGCUUCUUAACCCAGCAAUAAACUUGUCACC